rnacentral:rRNA from 1 species
AGUGGAGCUUGCUCCAUGAUUCAGCGGCGGACGGGUGAGUAAUGCCUAGGAAUCUGCCUGGUAGUGGGGGACAACGUUUCGAAAGGAACGCUAAUACCGCAUACGUCCUACGGGAGAAAGCAGGGGACCUACGGGCCUUGCGCUUUCAGAUGAGCCUAGGUCGGAUUAGCUAGUAGGUGAGGUAAUGGCUCACCUAGGCGACGAUCCGUAACUGGUCUGAGAGGAUGAUCAGUCACACUGGAACUGAGACACGGUCCAGACUCCUACGGGAGGCAGCAGUGGGGAAUAUUGGACAAUGGGCGAAAGCCUGAUCCAGCCAUGCCGCGUCUGUGAAGAAGGUCUUCGGAUUGUAAAGCACUUUAAGUUGGGAGGAAGGGCAGUAAGUUAAUACCUUGCUGUUUUGACGUUACCAACAGAAUAAGCACCGGCUAACUUCGUGCCAGCAGCCGCGGUAAUACGA